rnacentral:rRNA from 1 species
CACAAGCGGUGGAUGAUGUGGUUUAAUUCGAUGCAACGCGAAAACCUUACCACCUUUGACAUGGCAGGAAUCCCGAAGAGAUUUGGAGUGCUCGAAAGAGAACCUGCACACAGGUGCUGCAUGGCUGUCGUCAGCUCGUGUCGUGAGAUGUUGGGUUAAGUCCCGCAACGAGCGCAACCCUUGCCAUUAGUUGCUACGAAAGGGCACUCUAAUGGGACUGCCGGUGACAAACCGGAGGAAGGUGGGGAUGACGUCAAGUCCUCAUGGCCCUUAUAGGUGGGGCUACACACGUCAUACAAUGGCCGGUACAGAGGGUAGCCAACCCGCGAGGGGGAGCCAAUCCCACAAAGCCGGUCGUAGUCCGGAUCGCAGUCUGCAACUCGACUGCGUGAAGUCGGAAUCGCUAGUAAUCGCGGAUCAGCAUGUCGCGGUGAAUACGUUCCCGGGUCUU